CAGUCGCCGCGGUAAUACGAAGGGGGCUAGCGUUGCUCGGAAUUACUGGGCGUAAAGGGAGCGUAGGCGGACAUUUAAGUCAGGGGUGAAAUCCCAGAGCUCAACUCUGGAACUGCCUUUGAUACUGGGUGUCUUGAGUGUGAUAGAGGUAUGUGGAACUCCGAGUGUAGAGGUGAAAUUCGUAGAUAUUCGGAAGAACACCAGUGGCGAAGGCGACAUACUGGAUCAUUACUGACGCUGAGGCUCGAAAGCGUGGGGAGCAAACAGGAUUAGAUACCCGCGUAGUCCCUGUCUCUUAUAC
rnacentral:rRNA from 1 species